GCCCCCUCCCAAACCCUAGGUAGUUUUGAACAGUGCAGUGAUGGAGGAGGAUUAUAUCUUGUGCCUUUUGUUCAGUUUGAACUUAGCAAUUCAAGUUCUCUGAAGAGCUCUGUGAAAAAACUGAGAACGGAUCUUUUGGGGAUAUUACAAGUAUCAGGGCCUUCUACGCACCCUUUUCCCCACAACCACUUACCGACAUGGGAACACGGUCAUAAUAUCCAGCAAUUUGCAAUACUACUGGAUGCUGUUGUACCUGAAUGGUCUCAGUAUAUGAGAAAAGCAAGGCCUACACAAGUAAGCAUCUUUAAUAAAUCCAUUUAUAUAGCUGGGGAAAGUGGGCAAGCUUUUGGGCU
rnacentral:lncRNA from 1 species